rnacentral:rRNA from 1 species
AGAAUGAACGCUGGCGGCGUGCUUAACACAUGCAAGUCGCACGAGAACUCUUCUGCUUGCAGAAGAUAGUAAAGUGGCGCACGGGUGAGUAACGCGUGGGUAAUCUACCUCUGAAUUGGGGAUAACAUUGUGAAAGCGAUGCUAAUACCGAAUAAUAUCCCGAGAACCUAGGCUUUUGGGAUCAAAGGUGGCCUCUACAUGUAAGCUACUGUUUAGAGAUGAGCCCGCGUACCAUUAGCUUGUUGGUAGGGUAAUGGCCUACCAAGGCAACGAUGGUUAGCUGGUCUGAGAGGAUGAUCAGCCACACUGGAACUGACACACGGUCCAGACUCCUACGGGAGGCAGCAGUGAGGAAUUUUGCGCAAUGGGGGAAACCCUGACGCAGCAACGCCGCGUGAGUGAUGAAGGCUUUCGAGUCGUAAAGCUCUGUCAAGUGAGAAGAACCUACUUUUUGUUAAUACCAUUAAGUACUGACGGUAUCACUGAAGGAAGCACCGGCUAACUCCGUGCCAGCAGCCGCGGUAAUACGGAGGGUGCAAGCGUUAUUCGGAAUUAUUGGGCGUAAAGGGCGCGUAGGCGGUCUUUUAAGUCAGAUGUGAAAGCCCGGGGCUCAACCCCGGAAGUGCAUUUGAAACUAAGGGACUUGAGUAUGGGAGAGGGAAGUGGAAUUCCUGGUGUAGAGGUGAAAUUCGUAGAUAUCAGGAGGAACACCGGUGGCGAAGGCGACUUCCUGGACCAAUACUGACGCUGAGGCGCGAAGGCGUGGGGAGCAAACAGGAUUAGAUACCCUGGUAGUCCACGCAGUAAACGGUGAACACUAGGUGUAGCGGGUAUUGACCCCUGCUGUGCCGCAGUUAACGCAUUAAGUGUUCCGCCUGGGGAGUACGACCGCAAGGUUAAAACUCAAGGAAUUGACGGGGGCCCGCACAAGCGGUGGA